rnacentral:rRNA from 1 species
AUUGAACGCUGGCGGUAGGCCUAACACAUGCAGGUCGAGCGGAUGAAGGGAGCUUGCUCCUGGAUUCAGCGGCGGACGGGUGAGUAAUGCCUAGGAAUCUGCCUGGUAGUGGGGGAUAACGUCCGGAAACGGGCGCUAAUACCGCAUACGUCCUGAGGGAGAAAGUGGGGGAUCUUCGGACCUCACGCUAUCAGAUGAGCCUAGGUCGGAUUAGCUAGUUGGUGGGGUAAAGGCCUACCAAGGCGACGAUCCGUAACUGGUCUGAGAGGAUGAUCAGUCACACUGGAACUGAGACACGGUCCAGACUCCUACGGGAGGCAGCAGUGGGGAAUAUUGGACAAAGGGCGAAAGCCUGAUCCAGCCAUGCCGCGUGUGUGAAGAAGGUCUUCGGAUUGUAAAGCACUUUAAGUUGGGAGGAAGGGCAGUAAGUUAAUACCUUGCUGUUUUGACGUUACCAACAGAAUAAGCACCGGCUAACUUCGUG